AACGAACGCUGGCGGCAUGCCUAACACAUGCAAGUCGAACGAGACCUUCGGGUCUAGUGGCGCACGGGUUCGUAACGCGUGGGAACCUGCCCUUAGGUUCGGAAUAACUCCCCGAAAGGGGUGCUAAUACCGGAUAAUGUCUUCGGACCAAAGAUUUAUCGCCUUUGGAUGGGCCCGCGUUGGAUUAGCUAGUUGGUAGGGUAAAAGCCUACCAAGGCGACGAUCCAUAGCUGGUCUGAGAGGAUGAUCAGCCACACUGGGACUGAGACACGGCCCAGAAUCCUACGGGAGGCAGCAGUGGGGAAUAUUGGAAAAUGGGCGAAAGCAUGAUCCAGCAAUGCCGCGUGAGUGAUGAAGGCCUUAGGGUUGUAAAGCUCUUUUAACCGGGAUGAUAAUGACAGUACCGGGAGAAUAAGCUACGGCUAACUACGUG
rnacentral:rRNA from 1 species